GCAAGUCGAGCGAAUGGAUUGAGAGCUUGCUCUCAAGAAGUUAGCGGCGGACGGGUGAGUAACACGUGGGUAACCUGCCCAUAAGACUGGGAUAACUCCGGGAAACCGGGGCUAAUACCGGAUAAUAUUUUGAACUGCAUGGUUCGAAAUUGAAAGGCGGCUUCGGCUGUCACUUAUGGAUGGACCCGCGUCGCAUUAGCUAGUUGGUGAGGUAACGGCUCACCAAGGCAACGAUGCGUAGCCGACCUGAGAGGGUGAUCGGCCACACUGGGACUGAGACACGGCCCAGACUCCUACGGGAGGCAGCAGUAGGGAAUCUUCCGCAAUGGACGAAAGUCUGACGGAGCAACGCCGCGUGAGUGAUGAAGGCUUUCGGGUCGUAAAACUCUGUUGUUAGGGAAGAACAAGUGCUAGUUGAAUAAGCUGGCACCUUGACGGUACCUAACCAGAAAGCCACGGCUAACUACGUGCCAGCAGCCGCGGUAAUACGUAGGUGGCAAGCGUUAUCCGGAAUUAUUGGGCGUAAAGCGCGCGCAGGUGGUUUCUUAAGUCUGAUGUGAAAGCCCACGGCUCAACCGUGGAGGGUCAUUGGAAACUGGGAGACUUGAGUGCAGAAGAGGAAAGUGGAAUUCCAUGUGUAGCGGUGAAAUGCGUAGAGAUAUGGAGGAACACCAGUGGCGAAGGCGACUUUCUGGUCUGUAACUGACACUGAGGCGCGAAAGCGUGGGGAGCAAACAGGAUUAGAUA
rnacentral:rRNA from 2 species